GAUCCUGGCUCAGGAUGAACGCUAGCUACAGGCUUAACACAUGCAAGUCGAGGGGCAGCAUGUUGGUUGCUUGCAACCAACGAUGGCGACCGGCGCACGGGUGAGUAACGCGUAUCCAACCUUCCGCAUACUCGGGAAUAGCCUUUCGAAAGAAAGAUUAAUGCCCGAUGGUUUCCCGAAUCCGCAUGAGAGCGGGAAUAAAGAUUCAUCGGUGUGCGAUGGGGAUGCGUCCAUUAG
rnacentral:rRNA from 1 species